rnacentral:rRNA from 1 species
UACGUAGGGGGCAAGCGUUGUCCGGAAUCAUUGGGCGUAAAGCGCGUGUAGGCGGCUCGAUAAGUCUGCUGUGAAAGUCCAGGGCUCAACCCUGGAAUGCCGGUGGAAACUGUCGAGCUAGAGUCCGGAAGAGGCGAGUGGAAUUCCUGGUGUAGCGGUGAAAUGCGCAGAUAUCAGGAAGAACACCCGUGGCUAAGGCGGCUCUCUAGUACGGUACUGACGCUGAGACGCGAAAGCGUGGGGAGCGAACAGG